CAUGGCUUUGGAACUUCGAAGCAAGGUUUUUUAGGUGGAGAAGGAUCAAGACAUUUGUCUUCCACUGCUGCGGACUGUGUGGCCCCGGAGCCGCAGGAGGUAUACUAGCUAGAACGUACGGAGUACAGUAUAGUGCAGUACUAGUAGUAGAUAACAGCCACUUCUUUUUUUUCGGAUAUAAAGGCUGUAGGCUUUAGGUGCUGUCCUCAAAUCCCAGCUGCAGAGUAUUUUCGCGUGAUCUCCGUGCAAUUGUUCGGAGCGAAUCUAUCGCAAGAUCUGGUCCUCACGCUGUUCAGCUUGGUUGCAGUUCAGCGACCUCAUUUGUCAAGUGGAUAUAUAUCUGACCUACAGCAAGUGUCAAUAUGUGCUGCUACAUAGGUUGCUACAUUUUCUUUCUUCUUUUUUUUUAAUACUAGCUUGAUACAUAAUACUCCCUCCACUACAUAUUAUGGACGAUAUAUAUAUUUACUCCCUCAAGAAGCUGCAAGUGAUGUCUAUAGAAAUUAUAAUGGUUUUAGCAUUAAGAAUGUUCUUAUGUUUCCACGUACACUCAUCAUUAGCUCAAGCUGAGUAGUCAUGUACCAUUUAUUACAAUCUGCACUCUUUUCUCUGAACAUGGUGGGCCUUGUUUAGUUUCAAAAUUUUUAGCAAAAUAAGUACUGUAACACUUUCGUUUGUAUUUAACAAAUAUUGUCUAAUCAUGGAUUAACUAGGCUCAAAAGAUUCAUCUCACAAAUUACAGAUAAACUAUAUAAUUAGUUAUUAUUUUUAUCUAUAUUUAAUGCUCCAUGCAUGUACUGCAAGAUUUGAUGUGUGAUGGAGAAUCUGAAAAAUUUUGUAAAAUUUUUUAGAAAGUAAACAAGGCCCCAAUCUUCUAGAACGAUGUUCAGACGAGAUGUUCCGGUCCAGUCCCGACUAAUAAUAAUAGAACUAGCUAACUACGAAAUGCCACGAUCAGAGAACAGUAUUCCACCUAAUCGAGGCAUUUACUUUUGGGGUUCAGGAGCAAGAGUCAAAUUUCUGCAUACGCAAUUCCAGCUGUAACAGACUCUUUCAUUUUGGUAUACUUCCACAAUAUAUUUUUUUCUUAGGUUAUUAUCUGAUGAGAUACAAUGUAUAUAUGCAUUGCAUAC
rnacentral:lncRNA from 1 species